UUGAACGCUGGCGGCAUGCCUUACACAUGCAAGUCGAACGGUAACAGGUCUUCGGAUGCUGACGAGUGGCGAACGGGUGAGUAAUACAUCGGAACGUGCCCGAUCGUGGGGGAUAACGCAGCGAAAGCUGUGCUAAUACCGCAUACGAUCUACGGAUGAAAGCAGGGGACCGCAAGGCCUUGCGCGGACGGAGCGGCCGAUGGCAGAUUAGGUAGUUGGUGGGAUAAAAGCUUACCAAGCCGACGAUCUGUAGCUGGUCUGAGAGGACGACCAGCCACACUGGGACUGAGGCACGGCCCAGACUCCUACGGGAGGCAGCAGUGGGGAAUUUUGGACAAUGGGGGAAACCCUGAUCCAGCCAUGCCGCGUGCAGGAUGAAGGCCUUCGGGUUGUAAACUGCUUUCAGCAGGAACGAAACGGUCGGCUUUAAUAAAGUCGGCUAAUGACGGUACCUGCAGAAGAAGCACCGGCUAACUACGU
rnacentral:rRNA from 1 species